UUCUCCCUGGCGCAAUUGGUUAGCGUAAGUCAGCCUUUGCAUCGUAUCACAGUUAUCAUCACUAACAAUAUUCAGGCGUCCGACUGUUAUCUGUUAAGAUCUGCAAUCGGGAGGUUCUAAGUUCAAGCCUUAGGGGGGAAG
rnacentral:tRNA from 1 species